rnacentral:tRNA from 1 species
GGGGCCGUGGUCUAGCCUGGAAUGACGUUGGGCUCCAGACCCAAAUGUCGAGGGUUCAAAUCCUUCCGGCCCCACCA